CGGGGCGUGGCUCAGUCAGGUAGAGCGCUGCGUUCGGGACGCAGAGGUCCCCGGUUCAAAUCCGGGCGCCCCGA
rnacentral:tRNA from 1 species